UACGAAGGGGGCUAGCGUUGCUCGGAAUCACUGGGCGUAAAGCGCACGUAGGCGGCUUUUUAAGUCAGGGGUGAAAUCCUGGAGCUCAACUCCAGAACUGCCUUUGAUACUGGCGACCUCGAGUCCGGGAGAGGUGAGUGGAACUCCGAGUGUAGAGGUGAAAUUCGUAGAUAUUCGGAAGAACACCAGUGGCGAAGGCGGCUCACUGGCCCGGUACUGACGCUGAGGUGCGAAAGCGUGGGGAGCAAACAGG
rnacentral:rRNA from 1 species